rnacentral:rRNA from 1 species
GAUGAACGCUGGCGGCGUGCCUAAUACAUGCAAGUCGAACGAAACUUAUUUAUCACCGAGUGCUUGCACUCACCGAUAAAGAGUUGAGUGGCGAACGGGUGAGUAACACGUGGGCAACCCGCCCAAAAGAGGGGGAUAACACUUGGAAACAGGUGCUAAUACCGCAUAACCAUAGUUACCGCAUGGUAACUAUGUAAAAGGUGGCUAUACUACCGCUUUUGGAUGGUCCCGCGGCGCAUUAGCUAGUUGGUAGGGGAAAGGCUUACCAAGGCAAUGAUGCGUAGGCGACUUGAAGGCUUGAUCGGCUAGAUUGGCAGUGAGACAGAGCCGAAACUCCGAGAGGGGGCAGCAGUAGGGAAUCUUCCACGAGGGGGGAAAGCCUGAUGGAGCAACGCCGCGUGGGUGAAGAAGGUCUGCGGAUCGUAAAACCCUGUUGUUAGAGAGGAAAGUGCGUGAGAGUAACUGUUCACGUUUUGACGGUAUCUAACCAGAAAGCGACGGCUAACUACGUG